rnacentral:rRNA from 1 species
GGGAUUAGAUACCCUAUUAUAUUUAAAUAACAUAAGGUAAUAAUAUUUUUAAAAAAAACCUAUUUAUUUUGGCGGCAUUAAUCUUAUUAAAGGAACUUGUUUAUUAAUCGAUAAUCCUCGUUUACUUUCACUUUUAUUAAAAGUUUAUAUACCGUCAUCUUAAGAAUUAAUUUACCUAAAUUAUUCUAAAUAAAUAUAUUCUCAAAAGUUAGAUCAAGGUGUAACCUAUAUUUUAGUUUAAAUGAGUUACAAUAAAAAUUAUUUAAGGAUUAAAUAACUACAAUUAAAAUGAAAAAGGAUUUAAAAGUAAUAUUAAAUUAAAAAUUUAAUAUGAAUAAGACAACAAUGUGCACACAUC